UGGCUAACAAUUUUUCUUUUUUAAUGUUUAUUAACUUUCUUGCUUUUUGACUAUCUCUAAGAGUUUGAUAUUGUAGAAAUUGUUUGAGUUCAAUAUUUAUGGUAUCUCAGUUAUGAUUUUCUUUUGUAAGACUCAAAAAGAGGGUUACUUCUGUUUGCAAUGCAUAGCUGAUUCUUCAUAUUCUGUGUUGUACAGAUGGCAAUGCAGGCAGAUUCUUCUGCCUUAAGUCCCGAAGUAGUUGGGAAUGCCUUUGUGGAGCAAUACUACAGUAUUCUUUGUCCAUCACCUGAUAAUGUUCACAGAUUUUAUCAGGAAUCAAAUAUGCUAAGCCGGCCAGAUCCUUCCGGUGCUAUGAGAAGACCAUCAAAGGCAUAAAUGACAAGAUUUUGUUUAUGGACCAUCAGAAUUUUAAGAGCCAAUUCAUGCUCCCAAUAACCAUGCUGUGAAUCACAAUUCACCAACCCCUGCAAAUGAGGACACUGAAAACGGCAAAGAAGUCAGUCAUCCAUUGGACAAUGGAAAAGUUUUGGUGGCUGAGAAAGUGGUUGUUCCAGAGCAUCCAAUCAUUUCAAUCCAGAAUGAUGCCCCUCCGGUCACAAAGACCCUUGCUUCUAAAACACAAGACGAAGUCCCCAAGAAAUCUUUUGCAUCAGUGGUACAUGAUUUGAAAAAGAGUAAUUCUCCAUUUGAUGUUGUUCUCAGGGUUCCAUCUGUUAAACUUGUGGAACAAUCACGGUCACUGCAGCAGCAGCUAUAGAAACUGCUCCUAAUAGCAACAGUUCCGUGGAUGAAAACAAUAAUAAUGCAGCAGUUAAGGGUCACUCCAUAUUUGUUGGAAACUUGCUUGAUACUGCAACAGUUGGACAACUUAAGGUGGUUUUUGAGCAAUUUGGGCCUAUUAAACCAGAUGGCAUUCAAGUUAGAAGUCAGAAGCAAACAGGGAACUGUUUCGGUUUUGUAGAAUUUGAAUCUGCCAGUUCAGUGCAAAGUGUGCUC